UCACAUGUAUAUUAUCACGCAUAAGAUGC
rnacentral:piRNA from 1 species